rnacentral:lncRNA from 1 species
CGUAAGUCUAGUAGGGUUUCCCAUCCUCUUGAGAGGUGCUUAGGUAUUAUCUCAAAGGAUAUAGAGACAAUAUUUCUCAUAGAAAAUGGGUUACAUAGAGAUGACGCCAAAACCUAUAGUGAGGCAAUAUUAGAUAUCAAUUUUGAAAAAUGGUUAGAGGCAAUGAAGUCAAAAAUUAACUCAAUACACUCAAACCAAGUCUGAACUUUAAUAGAUCUACCUGAAGGAAUUGUACGUAUUAGGUGUAAAUAGAUUUACGAGAGAAAGAUUGGUAC